GCAGCCGAGCCGCACAGGUGCAGACCGCGCUCUCGCUGGCCAUAUUGCGGUCAGAACCCCACAGCGGCCCCGCCGGGUUUUCGUCGACGGGGAGGAACAUGCACCCUGGAUCGCGGGAGGGACCCCAGAGGAGGCUCUGAAUCCCUGCCCCAUCCCUGCGUGCCUCAGUUUCCCCGCCUGGACAGUUGGUGCGAGGACGCCACCUGUAGCCGAGGUGCUCCGCGGGGCUCCAUCCGCCGGAUCUGCUCCGUUCUCGCUACUGUUUAGUUCCAUCAGCCCCCAGACCCCACCACCCAUCCCCUGGUCACUGUGGGCAGUGGAGGGAUGGCUGCCCAGCUGCCGGCUGACAAGGCCCUGGAGUUGGUGACAUUCAAAGAUGUGGCCAUGAACUUCACACAGGAGGAGUGGCGGCAGCUGAAGCUGGCUCAGAGGGGCCUGUACAAGGAUGUGAUGCUUGAGAACUUCCAGAACUUGAGCUCCCUGGAAAUGGAGACUGGAGAGGAAUGGCCCAGUGGAAGCUGUCUCUGCAGGAGUAUCCCCUGAGCUGGACCUGGAAGAUCUGGGAGGUGGCUGCCCCUGGGGCUGUGCAUCAGGAGAGGCCGGGACAGCUUCAGGAAGGGCCCCUUCAGAGCAUCAGCCAGGAGACCCCCAGCCAGGAAUUCCAGGAGGGAGGGGACCCCACAAGUGCGGCCCGCGGAAUGCCAACUGGGAGAGCCCCUGCCGUCACUGAGAAGUCCUGUGUGCCAGGAGUGCGGGGAGGCCUCUGCACACUGCACCGAGCUGGCGCAGCACCAGCGCGUGCACGCCCUGGACAAACCCUUCGCGUGGGGCGAGUGUGGGAGACGCUCCCGCAGGAAAGCCACGCUCACGGUGCACCGGCGCGUCCACACCGGCGAGAAGCCGUUCACGUGCGCCGAGGGCAGCAAGGCCUUCUGCCAGCUUGCCAACCUCACAGUGCACCGGCGUAUCCACAUGGACGAGUGGCCCUACCGGUGUGCCGAAUGCGGCCGCGCCUUCGUGCAGAACAAGCAGCUGCUCGGGCACUGGCGCACACACACCGGCGAGCGGCCCUACAAGUGCGGCGAGUGAGGCAAGGCCUUCACCCUCAUCACCAACCUGGUGGACCACCAGCGCAUCCACACCAGGGAGAAGCCCUUCGUGUGUGACCUGUGCGGUAAGCGCUUCACCAAGCGCUCCUCCCUCCUCGGGCACCAGUGGGCCGCCAGAGGCGACAGGCCCCGCCCGUGCAGGGUGUGCGGGAAGGCCUUCCGCAAGAAAUCCGAGCGGGUCAACAACCACCGCACGCACACGGGCGAGCGGCCGUUCAAGUGCUAUGAGUGCGGCAAGGCCUUCAGCCAGAAGGCGCAGCUCGUGGUGUACUGGUGCAACCACACGGGCGAGAAGCCUUUCCACUGCAAAGCCUGCGGGAGAUCCUACAGCCAGAAGGGCUACCUCACCGUGCACCGGCGGACCCAUACCGGAGAGAGACCCUUUGAGUGCACGGAGUGUGGCAAGACCUUCAGCCAGAAGGCGCACCUCUCCAUUCACCUGCAGAUCCACACGGGCGAGAAGCCCUUACCGCUGCGGCGAAUGCGGGAGAAGCUUCCAGAAGGUGUCCUUCCUACUCUAGCAUCAGGCCAUCCACAGUGACGAGAGGCCCUUCCAGUGUGGCGUGUGCAGCAAGGCCUUCGUGCGGAAGUCCACCCUGGUCCAGCACGGCCGAAUCCACACAGGGGAGAAGCCCUACCAGUGCGGGCAGUGUGGGAAAGACUUCCGGCACCAGCCCAUGCUGACGGCGCACCGGAGGAUCCCCACCAGGGAGUGGCCCUAUGAGCGCAAGGUGUGUGGCAAGGCCUUCAGGUGCAUCGGGAACCUCACCUGCCACAAGAAGACCCACGCUGCUGCGGGGGUGCCCGCCAGGGAGCCCAGCCUUCUGCCCACUCUCCCAGAUAACCUGUCACAGGUGAGGCCUGAGAUGGUGGCCAAGUUUCAGCCUCCUCCCGUCAUCACUUUAGAAUUAACUCAGGGACGUCAAGAGAUGCCCUUGGGGCUUAUGACACAUUCCUGAGAAUUCCCUCAGGACAGGCGAUAGCUGCCGUACUUCAGCAGUGUGCGACCUGUGCAACCACACAGGGCCUGGCCCACGCUCGGUCUCACGCUCUGCAGUCACCAUUUUGAAAUGCUUAAUAACCUCUGGACAGAGGGCCCCAUAUUUUCAUGUUGCACCAGACUCCAAAAAUUAUCCCCGUUACCAGGGGAGAGAUUAGAUCAGGCAGGGGUUGGCAAACCGCAGCCCGGGGGCCAGACCUGCUUUCACAUGGCCCCCAAGGUAAGAAUGGCUUUCACACUGUAAAAUAAAGUGAAGGGUUGUAAAAUAAAGCGAAAAGAAUAUGACACAGAGAGAGCUUUUGUGGCUUGCAAAGAAUACACAGUCUCUGGCCUUUUGCAGAAAAGGCUGGCCAACCCCUGCCAUCAACCAACAGUUAUUUGUGGAAUUCCACACCCUUCCUCAGCACAGGCUGGCAAAACCCGUUUGGUCUCAUGGUCCCUCUUGGUGGUUCCCUCAGGUGGGCUCCUGGGACUAAGUGGAGGAGACUGGCUGGCUCCGUUCUUUCAUUUCCCUCUAGGCCUUUUUAAAUAUAUAUUUAUUUAUUUAUUUUUGGCUGCAUUGGGUCUUUGUUGCUGCACGUGGGCUCUCUCUAGUUGCAGCGAGGGGUGGCUACUCUUUGUUUUGGUGCACGGGCUUCUCAUUGUGGUGGCUUUUCUUGUUGCGGAGCAUGGGCUCUAGGCGUGCGGGCUUCAGUAGUUGUGGCACGUGGGCUCAAUGGCUGUGGUUCGCGGGCUCUAGAGUGCAGGCUCAGUAGUUGUGGCACAUGGACUUAGCUGCUCCACGGCAUGUGGGAUCUUCCCGGACCAGGGCUCGAACCUGUGUCCCCUGCAUUGGCAGGCGGAUUCUUAACCACUGGGCCACCAGGGAAGCCCUUACUGUGGCUCAGACCAGCUGCUGUCCUUGGUGCUGAACAUCACCUGCGUACCUGGCACUUUACCGGGAAUAAACGUGAUUCUCCGUUAAAUGGCUGUUUAUUCACUGCAGGAUCUGGUGUCUCUGCCAGAAAGGUUUGUCCAGUGGGAGCUUGUUGUAGCUCACUCACUGUAUUCGUUUGCUCCGGCUGCCAUGGCAAAAGACCACAGACAGGGCAGUGGGCUUGAAUGGCAGAAAUCUAUUUUCUCACCGUCCGGGAUCAGGGUGUGAGCAGGGUUAAUUUCUCCUAAGGCCUCUCUCCUUGGCUUGCAGAUGGCGGCCCUCCUGUGGCCUCUUCACGUGGCUGUCCCUCUGCCCGUGUGCGGCCUGGCAUCUCUCUCUCUCUUCUUAGGACACCAGUCAUUGGAUUAGGGCCCACUCAUAUGACCUCACAGAACCCUAAUUAUCCCUUUAAAGGCCCUAUCUCCAAAUCCAGUCACAUUUUGAAGUUACUGGGUGUUAGGAUUUCAAUAUAUGAAUUUGGGGAGAACACAUGCAAUCUAUAACAUCCUUAAAUGGCUAGAAACAGCCUUUUGCAACUGUAGCUGCUGUCUACAUGUUACUGGAAAGCAUGAGCACCCACCUUGCAUUUUGGGUGGCAGGGGGAGACAGUAACCCCCCACACUCCUCACUUUCCUUCCUUCCUGGUGCAGAGUUCGUCCUGGGACGCAGCUGUCCUGCCAGAGACCGCAUUUCACACUUGCAUCCAGGAAGGGGCAUGGACCACUCCUCCCUGUGGAAGGUGAGGAGAGGGAUGUGUCCAGAAAAGGUUGGGCCUUUGCCACCUGCCCUUCCCCCAUCCGCCCCCUGGAUGCUGACCCCAGGGUGUUUCCAGAAGCAGUGAGCUGAAUGUGGUAGAGGGAGUUUGGACCCCCGAGUCACCCUGUGGAGAUCCUCCUACGAUUGGCUGCAAGGAAUUAGGCCCCAGGUCUUUGGGGUUUGUUGCUGCAUUUCGUCCAUGCUGACCCAGCUCUGUGACCUCACCAUCACCUCCACCCUGUGUGGGAGGUCAGGCAUCACCUCCACUGAACAGACAAGGAGGCACCGAGCAAGCUCAGGUUGACCACUGGGUGAGUGGCAGUACCAGUGGUUGAGCCCAGGAUCCCCUGACCCCAGAGCCCACUUGAUCACUCCUCCACUCUGCAGGGGCUGCAGACCAGGGGUCCAAUCUGUUUCUUGCCCCAGAUGUCGUUGGUGUGGCCUGCUUGGGCCUGGCCCAAGUAGCAUUUCUUAAAUAUGGGAAUUUGGUGCUGUUUAGGAAACAGAAACAUUGCACAUAAAAGCUUUCAGCUCCAAGAUCUUGAGCAAAGCAUUAGUACUCUGAGCCUCAGUUUCCUCAGCUGAAAAACCAGGAUAAUAAUAGCAUUCUAGAUAGUGCUUAUUAAUAUUUUAUUUGACUGUUGAUAAUAGAGCACUGUAUUUAUUAUUUACUAUUAAUUAAUGAUAAUAGAGCACUAUUAUCAAUAGUAAAAUAAUAAGAUAUUAUUAAGGUGUGGAUGAGGCAUCUAUUAGACAAUAAGCCUGCUUGACUCAAAGCACUUUAUGUUCACAAGAAUCCCAUCCAGUAUGUCAGGGGGUCAUAAAUCUGUGAUUUGAGAGAGAAUGGUUUGCACCUCUCCUGAAACUCCAAAACUUCCAGGAGAUUCCUGGCCAUCACCAGCUUCUGGAUCUGUGUCCAGGCCCUCAGUGAAUAAUACUGGACGGUGACCAUGGGUCUCUGAUAACUCUCCAGGGCUUGUCUCUGUCCAAGGUCUCAGUUACCUGCAUCCCGUCCUGACCUACCAGGGACCGGGUGGCCCUGAGAGAAGAGGGUGCUCCCACACCCCUCCUCCCCGUCCUUUCCCAUUUGAUGAGAGGACUGGGCCAGGUGUGGAAAGGUCUAGCAGGGCGAGGCUGAGUGUCCCAUCUCAUGAGUAGGAGGUGAUGGGAGGGAAGCACAGGAGGAGGGU